AGGUAAGCUACUAAGAGCGAAUGGUGGAUGCCUUGACUGGUAAAGGCGAUGAAGGACGUACUAGACUGCGAUAAGCUACGGGGAGCUGUCAAGAAGCUUUGAUCCGUAGAUUUCCGAAUGGGGCAACCCAAUGUAUAGAGAUAUACAUUACCUAUAUAGGAGCGAACGAGGGGAAUUGAAACAUCUUAGUACCCUCAGGAAAAGAAAUCAAUAGAGAUUGCGUCAGUAGCGGCGAGCGAAAGCGCAAGAGGGCAAACCCAGUGCUUGCACUGGGGGUUGUAGGACUGCAAUGUGCAAGAGGUAAGUUUAGCAGAACAUUCUGGAAAGUAUAACCAUAGAGGGUG
rnacentral:rRNA from 1 species